UGGGGAAUAUUGCACAAUGGGCGCAAGCCUGAUGCAGCCAUGUCGCGUGUAUGAAGAAGGCCUUCGGGUUGUAAAGUACUUUCAGCGGGGAGGAAGGGAGUAAAGUUAAUACCUUUGCUCAUUGACGUUACCCGCAGAAGAAGCACCGGCUAACUCCGUGCCAGCAGCCGCGGUAAUACGGAGGGUGCAAGCGUUAAUCGGAAUUACUGGGCGUAAAGCGCACGCAGGCGGUUUGUUAAGUCAGAUGUGAAAUCCCCGGGCUCAACCUGGGGAGUGCAGCUGAUAACGGCAAGCUUGAGGCUCGUAGAGGGGGGUAGAAGUCCAGGUGGAGCGGUGAAAUGAGUAGAGAUUUGGGGGAAAACCGGUGGCGAAGGCGGCCCCCUGGACGAAGACAGACGCUCAGGUGUGAAAGCGUGGGGAGCAAACAGG
rnacentral:rRNA from 1 species